UUCAGGACAUCUGAGUUUUAACUUGUUCACUUACCUUUGUUUUAUUACAGUCUUCACUUAAGGAUCACCAUGCCUCUCAGACACAUCCUAUGUCUUGCUGUUCUACUGACAGAUAUUGUAAGUGGGGACAGAGUAACACAGAAAGAACUGAAUGAACAUGUUUAUGAAGAUGAUGAUGUCCAACUUUCAUGUAAUUUCACUGCAACUAGCACAGAUACUGCUAACUUAUUUUGGUAUCGUCAGAAAGCAAAUGGUCCCAUUGAAUAUCUGGAUCUUCAUGUGAGCAGCUAUCAACCUAAUGCUGACAAAGGAAGAUUUUCAGCCCACCUCAACUAUUCUAACAGCAUCGUAGUUCUAAAUAUCUCCAGCACCGUGCUGUCAGACUCAGCUGUUUACUAUUGUGCACUGAGAGACACAGUGAAUAACAUCCCUACUAACGAAAUACAAGAACUAGGUCUGCAUGUAACUGAAAUGUUAUGCAAUAAACUCCCCCUUACUAAAACAGAUGACACAAUUUAGGGGACUGCACACACCUUCAGUAAUUCAGAAAAUACUGCUAUGUUUCAACAUUUUCUAGAGCUUUACUAUUUUGUGUGAUAAUGUUUUCUAUAGCUGUUGUUACAGCUCAGAUA